rnacentral:lncRNA from 1 species
UAUUUUUCAUCCAACCUAACUUAGACUAAGCUGGUUGAAUAUGUAACAGCGACAGCUUGCAAAAUGCUGAAUUUUGUCAAACGUAACUUCAGGACAGCAGCUCCCAAAAUUUGAGAAUGACUUCACUUUAGUAAUGUAAGAUCGAUAUUGCAGUACACCUAUGCGUUCUGGGACCCACAAACUAAAGUCCUUUCUAAUACGCUUGAACUCGUACAAAACCGCGCAGCUCAAUUUGUUUUUAAUAAUUAUAACUUUACUUCUAGUAUUACAGCACUU